rnacentral:rRNA from 1 species
CCCUUAGAUGUUCUGGGCUGCACGCGUGCUACACUGAUAUUGCCAAUAUGCCAUUCUUAUCCGAAAUGGAUUGGGUAAUCAAGUAAUGAACUUUCAUGCUUGGAAUCGGUAAUUGCAAUUUUAUCGUGAACGAGGAAUUCCUAGUAAGCACUAGUCAUCAGCUAAUGUUGAUUAUGUCCCUGCCCUUUGUACACACCGCCCGUCGCUACUACUGAUUGGGUGUUCAAGUGAGAUGCUUAGACCCUUGUUGCAUGGUUCAUUAUUGUGCUCCGAAAGGAAAAAGUUUCAAGCUUGAGUGUCUAGAGGAAGUAAAAGUCGUAACA